rnacentral:lncRNA from 1 species
CCUCCUUUGCUUUUUUGAGAGAUAUUCGACCUUACAAGACUUCAUGGCGUGUCCAAGUGAAGGUGCUUCACUCGUGGCGUCAGUACACUAGCAUGACUGGUGAAACCCUCGAGUUAGUGUUGGCAGACUCACAGGUAACUUUACUUGAUCAUAAUGAAUUCAAAAUGUUAACUAGAUCACUACAAGAAAUCAGCCCAUUAACGACUACAACAUUAGUCGUAAAAUAGUCGUUAAACAUGCAAAGACGACUAUCAUACGACAAAUAUAUAUAGUCGUAAAUCCGUAGUCGCUAAACUUUUUAGUCGUUAAAUUAGUCGUUAUUUUGCGACUAAAUUACGACUAUAUAUGAUGAGUCGCCAUAUUAGUCGUAACAUAGUCGUAACUAUAAUACGACUAACUUACGACUAUGCUACGAUUAAACCGCAUGUAUAGUUGGUCUCCUAAGUGUAGUCGUAACUUAGUCGUAAAGUUUUAGUGACUAUGUUACGACAAUUUGGCGACUAAUAAUACGACUACGUUUAUUAGUGACUACGUAGUCGUUAAAUUAUGUGUCUAAUAUGCGACUAUUAGACUACUAUUUUUACGACUAUUAGGCGACUAUGUAGGUUGAUAGAACAAAAGUUUGGUAAGACCUGAAUUAUAAUUUGUUACGGUUCUGAUUGUCAUUCUAUAUCUAUUUUUAAAUAUCAAAAUUAACUUUUAAGGAAAGCAAUAAUAACCUUAAUCAUAAUAACAACAGUUACAAGGGAAAUACACAUUAAGUUCGUGUUCAAACCAUUUAAACAUAGCAAACUACAACAGUUACAGAUCACACAUAAUGUUCACGUCAAUGUUCAAGGGAAAAGGAAUAGAGUUGGGAAAUAGAGCAACCUAUGGAUCUUGUUGGGGAAUUGGCUCUGUGGUACCAGCUGAAGAAGAAUGAGUGGCCAUGAAGUGGAGAAAUUGAGGAUCAGUUUGACGCAGAUACUUCUCCACCAAGGAUAAGUGCUCGAGCUUGUCCUUUUGCUCAGCCGCGACUCGAGCUUGCUCAGCUUCACGGGAAGCAACCUCAGACUCUCGCCUUUCAUUAUAUGCAACCUGCUCUUCUAUUUUGCGGUGAGCAUCCUUUAGCUGUUCUUCCAGAGCUUGAAAGGAUGAUGAGUCUCCAGGGUACUUGCGAUUGCCACUGACAAGAGUGUUCUUCAGACUUCCGAUUCCAUACGGAUUUCCCCUUGCAUCUCUCUCAGUGGACUGUGAAAAGAAACAUAAAGGCAAAGAUUAGAGAAUAACAACUUAAACUGCAAGACUAUAUGAAUGUGUUUUGGGAAAAUGAACCUGAAGAAAGAUGGUGGUUUUCUCCUCUGUUGUGAGCUCCCGAGCUAGUGAAGUGCCAUCAGAAACUGCAGAAGUAUCUGCCUCUAGCUCAUUCAACCUAUCAAGCACAUUCUACUCAUAAGUUUUUGCAAUCUUCUCCGCUUUCCGAUCAACAUAUGUACCAUCCGGCCUUGUAUGUGUCUUGAUGAAAACUUCACCAAGACUUACCGGUCUUUCCAAUUCCUCUUCCUGCAAUGUAACCAAAUAAACAGAUAUUAACAUCUCCAAAACAGAUGUCUGAAUUCAUAGUUACAAAGUUUAAUAACAAGAAGUAACAGAAUUAAACUUACCAUAUCGUCUUGGAUUUCUUGAUAAGACUUAGGCCCUGAGAAGUGGAUGUGAGGACCGAGACCGUUGCGGUCAGACAUACGAGCAUUGGAAUAGGUCUUACUCCUUUCCUGAGCUUCUUCUGUGUCCCAGUAAGCGCACAUUGUUUCCCAGAUAGUUUUGCCAAUCCACGUAGGUUGAACUCGAGAAGUUCUUACGCCGCUAACCAUGUCUUUCAUGCGGCGUGCGAUGAUCUCCUCGAAGUGAUAUUGCACAGUCCCUGUGAUUAAUGGAUCUCAGGUGUGUGUUUUCUACAAAAAAACAGAGAUAAUGUGAGUGAAAAAAACAUAAAAAAUUCUACAUAGUCAUGGAUAUAAGACAGAACACUGUACCGCAAACUCGAGAAAGUAUCUUUCUUGUCUAUCCCGAGGCACACAUGACCAGCUAUAGAAAGGACCAUCGAAUUUGUUUGUAAAAUUUUUAGUAAUCUUCCGAACCAGUCUCGAUUUCUUGUCGCGAGUAAACCUCCAAACACAUGAAACAAUCAAAGAAGAAAAGAAGUUAUCAAAACUCAACAUCAGAAAAAUUAAAAAAGGUUACAAAUAGAAAUAAGGAGAUAAAACAAAGGAAACCAGAGAGUGUUGCCACAUAGUCUCACCAAAACAGAAUAUCAGAAACCUAAACUUAAGCAAAUAAUCGGAGAACUAUGGUUAAAACAGUCACAUUCACAAAACUCAUAAACCAUCACAGAACUAAGCAUAAAACAGUCACAUUAGUCAUCACACAACUCUUAAACCAUCAGAUAACUACUCAUUACCCAUCAGAGACAUUGACGAAAUUCUACACAAGUAUGAAAAAACAAGUUCACAUUAAACAUCACUCAUUACCAAACACAUUCACAGAAUUUAGAAUCUUCUACUACUCAUUACCAUUCAAAGAACAUAACAAACAAAUCCACAAUUCUACAGUUGUCUAAAACAACAAAUCCACAAUUUUCUACUCGUCAAAACGGAGUUUGUUUCAUACCAUUUCGUAUUUGGUCGGGGUUUGAAAGACAGGACAGUGGUGACGAGUUCCCUAUCUGGCACGGCAAGCAACGCAUUGAGAGAACGCAGCGAGUCCUCCUGGAGCUCUGGCAACACUGGAGGAUAUUCUUCUUGGAAGUUGUUGCCUUGAGAAGACGGAUGGCUGUGAGCCUGAAAGUUCUGAUUUGGAGAAUUUGGAUCUUCCUCCUGAAGAUUGGUUUGUGUAGGUGGAUUAAACUGGACUUCUUCAGAUCGAGCCGGUGGAUCUACUUCACGUUGUUGAUUGGUGGAGUUCUGGAAAAGUUGAACCGGCGGCAGAUAGUUGCGGAAGUGGGGAGCUGUCGUCGGCUGGCCUUGCAAAUUGGCCUGAGGUGCUUCAGGCGACUGCGUCGGAGGAACUUGAACCGCCGCCGGCGUGAAGUUGUACUGUUGAGGUAGCGUGCUUGGUCGUUUGGAAGGCGCUGACCCACCGGCUCGCUGAGACACGUUAGGGAUUGUUUUUCGCUUUCGUCCUCGUCUUCCAACGGCGUUAGGCAUCGUAGAAUCAAAAGACAGAGUUUACAGAAUCAAACUAGGGUUUACAGAAGAAAGAGAUUGGAGAUCGAAGAACUAGGGUUUACAGAAUCAAAAAAGGAAUGAAGCAGAGAGAUUGGAGAUCGAAUUAAAAGGCGAAGAAUAACAAAGAUGAGAGAUCGAAGGUAGAAGAAUCGGAGAUGAGAGAUCGAAGGUAGAGAGAACGCGGAGAAAACGAAGAAGAAAGAUCGAGAAGAAUGAAGAACUAAGGUUUCCUCCUUCAUUUUUACCAAGUGUUAGUGGGCUUUGGCCUCGUAAAAGGCCCAAAUAUUUUGAGUAGUCGCUUUUUAGUCGCUACACUGGAAUUGGGUUUGGGCCUCCUAAUUUGUUAGCCCAAUAUUAGUCGCGUUUUAGUCGGUAAAAAAUCACUACUUAAUUUUUUCAUAAUUAACAUAAUUUAACUAAUUAAACAUAAUGGGAUUCAGUAAAAUAAUAAUUAAACAUGUUUUAUUUAUAAUUUUAAUAAUUAAACAUCAAUUACAUAAAUAAAUAUAAAAUAGUUAUGGAUUUAGUAGCGCUCUUCAGACCAUGUUUUGUCAUCGUCAGAAGACGAUAAAUUACACUGGAAUUCAUCUUCUGGUUCAGCAUCACCAACAUCGUAAUCGAGGAUUAUUGGGUCAAAAUCUUCAACUCGAUUGUCAAGUACAAUAUCUUCAAUUGUAGUCAGCAAAACACCAUCAUCAUUUUCUGUUUGCAAAAGAGUUGGAUCGUCAUUGGUUUCAUAUUCUCCUGAAAUGUUUCCCCUCGGAUUCACUUUUAGAACAUUGAGCCAAAUGCUCUUUGGUUUCUUCGUAUAUGGAUAAGGAAUAUAACAAACUUGAUCUGCUUGAGAAGCUGUAUACAAAAGUUAUUCAUGUAUAAAUAUAUAUACGGAAUAUAUAUGUUUUAAAUAUAUAGAAUUUUAAUAUACAAGUAUACGUACCUAGAACAAAUGGCUCGUAUUUAUUGUAUUUUCUCGUUGAUAGAACGUCUACAACGCCACUUUGGCUCCGCCGAGUGCCUCUACCGAUAACAGGGUCAUACCAAUUACACUUAAAAAGUGUGAUCCUCAAAUUGACCAUGCCCUCAUACUGGAGUUCUAUGAUAUCAAUUAAGUUCUCGUGGAAAUCCGCUGAAUCAGAUGCAUCCGCGUAAUUUUCACCUUUAACACUUACCCCAUAGUUACAUGUCUUUCGUCCAACUCCGUGAUUCUGCGUAUGAAACAAAUAGCCUCUUGUAAAAUACAUUGGCCAAGUUUUAACCUUGUUCAAAGGUCCAUGUACAAUCUCUUGAACCCAAGUAGGAAAUGGAGAAGUAUCGUUCCAAUAUGUAACCUAUAUAUAAACACACAUCAAUAUAUAUAAUUAGAAAUUGAAAUAAAUGAUCAUCACUUAACCCAAUUAAAAAAAAUAUGUUGACAUACAUAAUCUUUAACCCAUAAUUGAUAUUCUUCAGCUCUUUUUGUGUAUAGUUCUUUCUCGGUCAAUUCCGGAUAUUUUGCAGAAAGAAAAUCUUCGAACAUACUAUACAAACACAAAAAAUAUAUGAAUAAUCAUAGUGGAUAUUGUAAAUUAAAGAGUGAUUUUUGGAAGAUAUGUUUUAUACCUCUCAAUUGGUUGAAAAUAGGCACAAUUUCGUAAAACAUAUGCAUGUGCGCUUUGGUAGUCUUUCUCUGAAAGCCAUACUUCACGCAUUUCUCCACUUGAACGGCUGACUUGCGUAAAUAUGUUAGGUACCCCAGGAACAUGAUAUACAGGAACUUCACCUUCAUCGAAUCUUGUUAACCUGAUCCAAAUUAAAGAGUUAAUAUGUUAGAAGUACAUUCCAAAUAUAAACAUAUAUAUAUAUAUAUAUAUAUAUAUAUAUAUACACAUUUACCUUGAUUUUGUUUGUAUAUGUUCUGCAAAGUAGUGCUCUGAAAAAUAAGCAAUCUCGUCAUUGAUAUAUGAUUCAACAAUUGAUCCUGCAGCAUAUCUUUUGUUCUUUGCUUUUCCUUUCAACUUUUUGAAAAAUCUCUCAAAAGGAUACAUCCAUCUAUAUUGGAUCGGGCCGCCUAAUUCAGCUUCGUAAGGGAGAUGUAUAGGCAGGUGCUCCAUCACAUCGAAAAAUGAUGGUGGAAAGAUCUUUUCCAAGUUGCAUAAGAUUAAAAUAAUAUUCUGUUUUAGAAUUUGAACACGACUUUUCUGUAAAGUCCUCGAACAUAAGUCCCAGAAAAAUGCUCCAAUCCCUGAAAUAUAUAUUCAAAUUACAUCAUCAUUUAAAAUUGUUAGAUAAAAUACUAGAAUAAUAUAUUGUUAAGUGUCGCAAAUAAUAAGUAAUUAGUAGUACCUGAUAACGCAAGGUGUACGUUCCGGUCAAGGAGUUCUACAAAGAUAAAUGGAAGUAGUCGCUCCAUAAAAACAUGGCAAUCAUGACUCUUCAUGCCUGAAAACUUACCAUUCUCCAUAUCUACACAAGUAGCCAAAUCUGAGGAAUAACCAUCUGGGAAUUUAACCGAAUGUUUCACACAUUCCAAUAAACUCGCUUUGGCUUGAUCUGUCAAUAUAUAUGCUGGGAAUGGAGCCUUACCCUUACUAUCAAUAUGUAAGGCUGGCCGAGAACAAAAUUUUUCAAUAUCCAAUCUUGACAUGAUGUUGUCUUUUGAUUUACCUUUCACACUCAUAAGAGUAUUCAUGAUGUUGUCCAGAAAAUUCUUCUCUGUAUGCAUCACAUCAAUAUUGUGUCGCAGAUUGAGAUCUUUCCAGUAAGGCAGCUCCCAUAAUAUGCUUUCCUUGUGCCAGUUAUGUUCCUUCCCAUAGCCUGGCAUAUUUUUUUCAUGACCGUUGCCACCAACGUCCUUGGUUUUUGGUGGAUUUACGCCAUCCAACCGCUCAUAAUAAACUUGCUCACCGGUCAAAGAUUCAGGUGGAUACUCUUUAGAAGCGUCUCUUCUUUUAAGGAAGUCUUUUUUGUUUUUCCGUAAUGGAUGACCAUGAGGAAGAAAUCUUCGGUGACAAUCAAACCAACAUGUCUUCCUUCCAUUAGGUAGAUAAAAUGACUUUGUACUUUCCAUGCAAAUUGGACAAGACAGUUUACCGUGGGUGGUCCAUCCUGAUAACAUGCUAUACGCCGGAAAAUCGCUUAUCGUCCACAUCAGCACUGCUUUUAGAUUAAAAUUUUGAUUCAAUGACACAUCAAAUGCAUCAACUCCAGUAGACCACAACUCUUUUAGCUCCUCAAUAAGAGGUUGGAGGAAGACAUCGAGACUACCUCGCGGGUGAUUUGGCCCAGAGUUCAGAAUUGUGAGAAACAAGUACUCUGUAUUCAUGCACAUGCCUGGGGUAAAUUAUAUGGAGUCAGGAUCACAGGCCACAACGAAUGAUUACGAGACAUGCCAAAUGGAUUGAACCCAUCUGUACAUAAGCCAAGAUAUACAUUUCGGGGUUCUUCCGCAAACUCGGGAUUUUGCUCUUGGAAAUAUCUCCACUCUGCCGCAUCUGAAGGAUGAUUCAUUUCUCCUUCCUUUGAUUGGUGCUCGGAAUGCCAUCGCAUUGCCGCUGCUGUCUUGUGGCUCUGAUACAUUCUCUUCAAUCGGUCACCAAUAGGUAGAUACCACAUUCGACUAUAUGGUACUUUGGUUCUACGACGAUCAUCCUUAGGCUUCCAUCUUUGUGCACCACAAAACCGACAUUGAUCUUCUUUUUCAGUUUCUUUCCAGAAAAGCAUACAAUUGUUCAUACAAACAUCAAUUGUAUGAUAUGGAAGACCUAAAUUGCGCAUCAAUUUUUUGGUCUGGUAAUGCGAACCGGUUGCCUGGUUUCCUUCUGGUAAAAAAUCUGUAAACAUUUGGCAAACCGAAUCCACUAACUUUUCACUCAUAUUAUACUCUGCCUUAUUAUGCAUGAGUCGAGCAGCUAACGAUAACUGCGAUUGACCUUCACGACAACCAUCGUAUAAUGGGUUUUGUGCACCUUCUAACAAGUCGUAAAAUUUAUUUGAAUGGUUACGUACUGGUUCUUCGACAUUCUGAUAACUACCAUCCUGAUCAUAGUUAUCAUCAAACCCCACGUUAUAACGAAAUACAUCGUUCACCAUAUCCACAUAAGGAUCUUCUACAACAUAACCCACCUCUUCAUGAUUCUCACUUUGAUAUGUCCUAUCAGUGUGACUUGUUCCUAUAUCCAUAUUGAGUUCUUCCCCAUGUCUAUACCAAACAUAAUAAUCUGGCAUAAAUCCUUGACUAAACAAAUGACUACUAACUCUUCUACCCGAGACCAUAUGUUUUUCAUUCUUGCACACACUACAAGGACAGUGAAAUUUACCGCGGUUACUCUGUACUAUAGGCUGGCUAUUAGCAAACGUCAUGAAUUCCUCCACACCGGCUACGUACUCUGCUGACAAAUUUCCCGUCACUUUGUCGAACAGCUUGUACAUCCACUCCCGAUAACCACCAUUACCGCCAUAAUUGUAAUUUCCCGUCAUUACCAAUAAAAUAUAAAGAAACUAAUUUUUUGAAAAGUGUUUAUUCCAAAUUCGUUUUUUUUUUUCGAAUUCGUUUUUUUUUCUUAUGUGAAGGAAGAGAGAGGAGAUGAGUGAAGAGAGUGAGUGCUGUUUUCUUUUAUAUAGACAAUUUUUGGGCGACUAAUUGGCGACUAAAAGUUGUAGUCGCCAAAAAACCGGUACACCUACCACAAACGAAAAAAACGUGUUUCUUAACUGUAAAAUACGACAAAUUGGCGACUAAUUUACGACUCGCCGAAAGAGUCGUAAUGUAGUCGCCAAACUAGCGACUAAUAUAUACUGUCGGAAAAUAGUCGCUAAAUUAGCGACUAAUAUACGACUAUAAUAUAUAUUCUACUUAUUAGUCGGUAAAUCGUCGCCAAAUAGCCACUACAUUACUGACAACCUGUUUUCGUCGCUCUUUGGCGACUAACUUACGACUACUUUUCUUUAGUCGUUAAAUAGUCGUAAAAUAGUGACAUAAUAGUCGGUAAAAUUGGCGACUACAUUAAUAGUCGGAAGCUGUAGUCGGUAAUCGACUGUUUUCUUGUAGUGGAUGAUCAUUCUAAUUAUGUCGUUUUCGUCUGUCAUAGGGUGUUAAGAUUCAUGCAUCAGUAAAGAAGGACUUGGUGAGCAAGUAUGUGAACAACUUGCCAGUCAAUGAGUGGAGGUUUAUAGAAACCUUUGCUCUUAACCAUGCAUCAGGUCAAUUCCGCCCUACUGGUCAUCUAUAUAAGAUGUCCUUUGUUACUGGGACACAGGUCAUCCGGUGUGAUCCUGUUAGUGACUCUAGCUACCUUUCAUUAGCCAGAUUCUCUGAUAUUCAGACUGGUGAAUUAAAUCCUCACAUCUUGGUUGGAUGCCAAUUUCUUAUUUGUUUCAGCACAGUUAUAUUCAUUAAAGAUCUUCAUUAUCGUUUAGUAUAUAUGAUUGGUUAUCAUUGUCUUAUUGUCUUUGUAGAUGUUAUGGGUCAAGUGGUUAAUAUCGGUGAACUUGAGACUCUAGAGGCUAAUAACAAACCUACAAAUAAGAUUGACUUUGAAUUAAGGGAUGACACGUAAGUUUAUCAUAUAUGAAUUCUCUAAAGUUUAGCCCUUUUAUACUUAUUGUUUUGAAAAAAACUGAUAUAGUCUUUGCUGUAGUGAUGAGAGAAUGUCUUGUACUUUGUGGGGAACAUUCGCUCAGAAUGUUUUUAAUGCAUGUGAAUCUGCUGAUGGAAGAAUGGUUAUCUGUGUACUAAGAUUUGCAAAGAUUAAGUCUUUCAAAGGUAUUGGUCUAUUCUUCACUUUCUUGAUGUAACUCACAUAUUAUUAAAGUACUUUACUUAACUAAUUGUGCUAUUUAUUCGUGUAUAUGGGAGUACAAAGUUUGUCUAACUCUUUUGAUGCAUCUCAAGUUCACAUCAAUCCACCUUUCCCUGAAGUUCAAACAUUUGUCAAUCGGUCUGUUUUCUUUGUUUUUUUUUUUUUAUCAUUUUUGGUUAUGUAGUUUUUAUAUAUACACUUGUUUUUAGAAUCCAAAUAUUUAUUUCUAUACUGUGUUAUGCAACAGUUUGCCUUCUGAUGGUCUUUCACUCACCUUCCGUGAGAGUGUUCCAAAGUUUCAAAUUGUAACUGUGAAACAGGAUGACUGUUUACAAUAUGAGAGGAAGACAAUUUCUAUUUACCGAAGCCAGUUUUUUCUCAUGGGCAACUCUAUGUUGCUCUAUCAAGGGUCACUUCUAAGAAAGGUUUGAAAAUUCUUAUUCUAGGUAAAGAAGGGAAGAUUCAAAAACAAACAACAAAUGUUGUUUUUAAAGAAGUUUUCCAGAAUAUCAACUGAUAAUGGUUUUCAAUGAUUUCUCUUUCAUCCAAAUAAAUAGGUAUGUUUCCUUUUACUUUCUCUUACUUAAUAUUUGCUUCAGGGUUUGCAAAACCCACAAAAUACACAGACAUGCCAGUAAACUAACAAUAUUCUUCCCAUUAACAGAAACAAACAAGUUGGGAAAAGGUCACGUGGAAUAGUUAAUGUUUUCAAUUUCCAGUUCAUCUACAGAUUCAGUGCUUGACUUGUCUAAAUAAAGGAGCAGCGACACAUUUCAAUAGCCAGUUAAUUGUUAUUCUUUCUUUUACUUACUUUAACUCUCAGACUUUGUAUAAGGAAGGUGUCUUUACUUAUUAUUGAAGUAAUUCAACAACAAUCACGCAGAUAUGCAACUAUUUUCUAAUUUCCUUUUCAAUUAGAUGCAAAACAUUACAUGAACUUCUAGAGGUCACAAGUCACUAAAUUAACUAUCAUUUACAUCAUAGUGAAAACUAACAUUUUCUUUGUGCUACCAGAAACCGCAGACUCUCUUGAUCAAUAAUCCCAUAUCGAUUGUUCAAAGACGGUUCCUAUGAAAUAUAGUGUCUUAUUAAGUUCCAUACUAUGACCUGCUGGUUAGAUUUAAAUGAUGUACUAAAUUAGAGUCUGAACUCUUACCUUCUCUUCCUUUUUUUGUCUUUGUUAUGCAGAGUUUUUGAGUUCUUCAAUAUUGAAUAUCUUCAUCAAUCAUCUUCAAU